GGGUUAACGCUAAAGAAGUCUUCUCUGCGAAGGAAAUCCCUUUUGCACUUUCCAGAUGACCUUUUCUGAAAAUGUAGCCUCUCCAGCUGAACGGUUUUCAUUUUGAUUACCAAGUGUGUGAAACUGAUCCCCAAGUGCUCCACAAACCGUAGGAUGUGUGCUUCCGGGAUUAGCAAUAUGGGGCAUCUGUUGUCGCCUCUUCUCUUGAGCCUGGCAGCAGUUUUUUCCAAAGUGACUGAGAGUCGAGGGAUCCUGGAGAGCAUCCAGAGGUUUUCUUUGCUGCCCACUUACUUGCCGGUGACCUAUCGUAUCCACAAUGCCGACGUGUCCUUCUUUCUGAAGGAAGCCAACCAGGAUAUUAUGAGGAACUCCAGCUUGCAGUCCCGGGUGGAAUCCUUUCUGAUCUACAAAUCCAAGAGUCCACCCGUGUUAAACGCCAGCUAUGGGCCUUUCUCCAUUGAGCAGCCAGUGCCCCAGGACUUAAUGCUGUCUUCAAAUCCCUUUGGAUCUACUAACAAGUUCUCCUUGAACUGGAAGCUGCAGGCCUACAUCAUGAGCACCAAGAUCUACCUGAGCAAGCCCAGGGUGCAGGUGCUGUUCUACAUCGUGGGCAGGGACUGGGACGAGUACAGCCCCGCGGAGCGGCUGCCCUGCCUGCGCGUGUUCGCCUUCCGCGAGACGCGCGAGGUGCGCGGCAGCUGCCGCCUCCGGGGGGACCUGGGGCUCUGCGUGGCACAGCUGGAGCUGCUGCCCAGCUGGUUCAACCCCCCCACCGUGGUGGCUGGCCGGAAGAAACAGCUGGAGAGGUCGGAAGGGAGCCCCGUGGAGCUCUAUUACUCCAUCCAAGCGGGGGAUGAGAGAGGGGAGUGCGCCAAGGAGGAUGUCAGGAAAAGCAACGGGAUCCGCUCGGGGCGCAACGACAUCGAUGAGUCAGGACCUCCCCUGCAGAGGAUUGGAAGUGUUUUCCUUUACCAGACACAUGCUGCCCCUUCUUUAACAGCAAUGAGAUUGGAUAAUAAUAUUGUCAUCCAGUAUGCACCAAAGACUGUCAAGCAAGGAGACAUUCUGACUUUCCUUGUGUCUGUUGCUAAAAACUCAACAGAAGAUCAGUUCACACUGAGGGCCAAGGUGAAGAGAGGAGUGAACGUUGUCAGUGUGAGAGCCAGCAGCCCGGACCUGUGGGACAUCAGGGAUAGUCUGGACUACACUGGCAAAUAUGCACCAGCUGUGGUUGUGUGCCAGAGGAAAUCUGCUGCUGACAGCAGUGCGGGGGGUCCUUCCUCUGAAAUCAUGCAGAUUGAUUUUGAAAUUGAAGAGCUGACUGACCUGCCUGAGACCCAGCUCAUCACCUGGCAGGUGGAAUAUCCUGGAGACACCACUUCAGAUCUGGGAAUCUCCAAGAUCUACGUCAGCCAGAAGGACCUGGUAGGAGUUCUCCCUUUGGCCAUGGAAGCAGAGAUCCUGAACACAGCCAUUCUCACUGGGAAGACAGUGGCUGUGCCUGUCAAGGUGGUUUCUGUGGAAGAUGAUGGCACUGUGACAGAUCUCCUGGACUCUGUGGAAUGCAGAUCAUCGGAUGAAGAUGUCAUUAAGGUUUCUGACAGAUGUGACUAUGUCUUUGUCAACGGGAAGGAAAUGAAAGGCAAAGUGAAUGUCGUGGUUAAUUUCACUUACCAGCACCUGAGUGCCCCUUUGGAGAUGACAGUGUGGAUUCCUCGUCUCCCGCUGCAGAUAGAGGUCUCUGACACAGAACUCAAUCAGAUCAAGGGCUGGAGAGUCCCCAUCAUCUCUAAUAAGAGGCCGGCCAGGGACAGCGACGACGAGGACGAGGACGAGCGCAGGGGCAGGGGCUGCACCCUGCAGUACCAGCACGCCAUGGUCAGGGUGCUGACCCAGUUCGUGGCCGAGCCCCCCGAACCUGGGGCCCAGCUCAGCUUCCUGCUGGGCUCAGACUGGCAGCUGGACAUCACCCACCUGGUCAGGGACUUCAUGCAGGUGGAGGAGCCCAGGAUCGCCCGGCUGCACGAUGGGCAGGUCCUGGUUGGGCUGGAGCUGGGCAUGACCACAAUCCAGAUCCUGUCCCCCCUUUCAGAUGCCAUCUUGGCUGAGAAGACAGUGACAGUCCUGGACGAGAAGGUGACAAUAACUGACCUGGGAGUGCAGCUGGUGACAGGCCUGUCCCUCUCUCUGCAGCUCAGCCCGGGGAGCAACAGGGCCAUCUUUGCUACUGCAGUGGCACAGGAGCUGCUGCAGUCCCCAAAGCAGGAAGCAGCCAUCAGCUGCUGGAUCCAGUUCAGUGAUGGAGCCGUCAUGCCCCUGGAUAUUUAUGACUCUAAAGACUUCUCCUUGUCAGCCACCUCUCUGGAUGAGAAGGUGGUCUCCAUCCACCAUGACCCCAAAUUCAAGUGGCCUGUGAUUGCUGCCGAGACCGAGGGCCAGGGCACGCUGGUGAAGGUGGAGAUGGUGAUCAGUGAAACCUGCCAGAAAUCCAAAAGGAAGAGCAUCCUGGCCGUGGGCAGUGGCAGCAUUAAGGUCAAGUUUGGGCAGAGCGAUGGCAGCCCCAACGUCAGCGACAGCAAGCACAGGGGUGCCGGUGUGCAGCUGGAGAACCAGGCCAGCGACCGGCGCCAGAAAAGCACCUGGCAGGAGAGAGGGGACGGGCACUACUACAGCUCCUCCAUGGGCCACGAGCAGGGCAGGGGCACCACCACCCACAGGUCUGUUCUGAGGAGGAAGGAGGACAGGGAGAGCCUCCUGGACGAUGCCAGCCAGAACCUGCCCCUGGACUUCACCAGCUUCCCUGCCCAGGUGGAUCUGCCCAGGGCCGGUGGGGACACGGAGGACAACGAGCUGGUGCCAUCGCCCCGGGGGCUCAGCGACCUGGAGAUCGGCAUGUACGCCCUGCUGGGCGUCUUCUGCCUGGCCAUCCUGGUGUUCCUCAUCAACUGCGUCACCUUCGCUCUCAAGUACAGAAACAAGCAGGCUCCCUUUGAGGAGCAGGAGGGCAUGAGCCACUCUCACGACUGGGUCGGGCUGAGCAACAGGACAGAGCUCCUGGAGAAUCACAUCAACUUCUCAUCGCAGCAGGACGAGCGCAUCACAGCCAUCGACAGAGGAGUGGACUACGAGGAGAGCAAAUACCUCCUCAGCACAACUGCCACCAAAAACACCAACGGACAGUCCACCUUCAGCGAAGGCAAAGAGCAGAAAAGUGAACCAACCACUUCUCCUACCUCCAAGAGGAAACGGGUGAAGUUCACCACCUUCACCACCAUCUCCUCUGACGAUGGCUGUCCAACUGUCAACUCAAUCCUGAUGAGUAACGAGGAUGACAUUAAAUGGGUCUGCCAGGAUAUGGACCUGGGGGAGUGCAAAGAGCUCAAAAACUACAUGGAGAGGUUACACGAGAAUGCCUAGUGAGACAUGAAAGACCCUUUUGGUUUGGUUUGUUUGUUUGUUUGUUUUUCACUCACCUUCUGCCUUUAAUUUUGGGUAGUGGGGCAAAAUGUUGUAUUCUAACAAGAAUCAGCUGGUGGAUAACAACUCAGUGGAGCCCCAAGAAGCCACCCAAAAGCAGCUGGGAGAGCAGAGAUCCUGGACAGCUGUUAAAAUUCAAGUCUUCUCUGUGCUCAGAGAUGGAAGUGAGAGAUGUGUGUGGUUUUUUGAUACACGAUAACAUGAAAAAAAAACUUAGAAAAAUAAUACGGUCUCAUUCUCUGUGCUUUCCCAGGAAAUCAAUAAAUAUAACAAACUCCAGUGCAGUUUGGAUAUUACAAAGCUCACACAGCUCUACUGUUCAAUUGCAAGCUUUGGUUAAAAGCAAGAGAUUGGUCUCAGAAUAAAUAGAUCUGUGAGAAGAGCAUGUCGUUCAGGCCACGUGCAGAGAAUAUCCAUCCAGGAGCGCUCAUUUAAAGCUGACAAAAACCAACAGUGAAGGCAGCAGCUCCCAGAGCUGAGGGGCCAUGAGUUCCCAAAGAGUCUGGAGGGGAUCGAGGCGUAACUGGGCUGUUUACAAACCAGCAUGUUUGCCUCCCAAGCACUGACAAUGGAGACACUGGUACACUUCAAACUGAAACUCUCUUUUUAAGUAGAUGCCAAGGUAAUAAACUUUGCCAGCCAAUUUUCGGUAUUUCUUAAUUUGUAAAAUAGGAGAAGAUAUGGUCUAUACUCAGACUCUCACUCAUCCUAAGGAAGGUCUUUUGGAAAGUUUGAGAGAAUGAGCUAUUUUUAAAAGCCCGCUUUGUUUGACUGUCCUGUUUUGGAUUUGUAUUCCCAGCCCUUUCCCUGGAGCUCCCCAUCUGCUAUCCUGAGGGCACUUCCCAGGAUGUACAUACAGUAGGAUUUCAGUGAUUGCCCUUGCGACCCGCCGUGCCCUCCAGCCUCAAACCAGAACAUGUCUUGUGAGGUCCAACAGCAGCCUCCAAUGGCCAGGGGCAAAGUGCCAAAGCACUAACUAAAAUCCAGGUAAUGGAUCUGAAAUAUAAAACUAUUUCAAACUCCCCUUUAUUUUCUGGAGUCAGUCCUCGCCCCCUUUUUGUUAAGUCUUCCAUCACUGAAUCUAGGUUGCUCAGUUUCAUACACACCCGCCCUCCCACAAACACUUAGAUUGAAUCCCUCUAUAUUUAGAAUGUACUGUAGAUUGUAAGAAUGUAAUAUAUAUAUUUAUAAACAUGCCAACUGUGAAUAAAAUUUGCAUUUUAGUGGCUUCAUCUUUUUUUCCUACUCCACACGCCUCUCUCCUUGGGCUGUCAGAGCGUUUCCCCUGAGAAGCCUGGCAGCAGCACAGACAGGAGGGCUGUGAUGGAUGCAAUCCAUCAAUCCACUCACAGGACUGCACACUGGCACUGCUGGGGACAGCCUGCAGCACCAGCAACGUGUCCUG